rnacentral:tRNA from 1 species
GGGUCCAUAGUUCAGUGAUAGAGCAUUUGACUGUAGAUCAAGAGGUCACCGGUUUGAACUCGGUUGGGACCU